UACGUAGGGCGCAAGCGUUGUCCGGAAUUAUUGGGCGUAAAGAGCUCGUAGGCGGCUUGUCACGUCGGGUGUGAAAGCCCGGGGCUUAACCCCGGGUCUGCAUUCGAUACGGGCAGGCUAGAGUGUGGUAGGGGAGAUCGGAAUUCCUGGUGUAGCGGUGAAAUGCGCAGAUAUCAGGAGGAACACCGGUGGCGAAGGCGGUUCUCUGGGCAUUACCUGACGCUGAGGAGCGAAAGCGUGGGGAGCAAACAGG
rnacentral:rRNA from 1 species